UGGUAUGUAUCAAACGCAUGCGUACAAAAGAUCUUCCGAUUUCACUGUAAUAAUGUUGCAGUUAAUACUAGACUCAUAUGCACAUGCGCGUGCUUAGGGGGGGCAAAAUCUUCGAAAUAGAGCGUGUAGUGGGGUGAAUCGUACGAAUCCCAGAACAGAACGGAGCAAUGAACCGUUCCGUAGGAUGUAACAACCAGUCAGUAAAGAGGGGAAAAGCAAUAGUGGGGGAUAAUAUGCAGCAUUCUAUAGAGCAGAAAUGUAGAAGUGGGGCACGUGCCAACUUCUACUUAAAGAGAUGUAUGGUGGGGAGAUGACCGAGAGUAGGGGAAAUAUGCAUCUUGGAGCGCGUUGAACGAAAAUUUAAGGUAGUCUGUGAGCAGGCGAGUGACUAUGCGCUUGCGUGGCCCUCGGAGAGUUCUUUUCUUUUUUUAAUUUUCCUUUUUUUCCUCUCGUCUGUUUUUGUUCGCAUUUUCCUUUCCUCUCAUUUCUUCUCUUUUCUUUAUCUUUUUCUUCAGAACAUCGAUUCAAUCUCCGAGGGUCUACAACCUUCUUUCCUGCUUUCCUUUCACCCGAUUCGACAUGUUAAAUUGAAAUCACCGAGAGCAAUUGUUGAGCCAGGCCAAAUUUGGAACUGAUAAUACGAACCUACCCAAAUUGGAUCAGGAAAUACACCGAAGAUUCUUAAGUGAAAUCAAAAUGAAAUUCGUCGAACUGGCAAAACAUUGAAGAAUAUUCUGAUAAUAAUAGCAAUUACUAAACACAAACACCAAUUGAUUCGAAAUGAUAUGAUGACACUAUUCACUAAUAAAACACGGCUGAACCAUUGUUUGACGGAUCGUCAAUAAUGUCGAAAUUGGAAAAGGAAAAGCAAAAAUCCUCUAUUGUCGAGGAUUUGUAAAUAUAUUUAUUUGUAUAUACAAAUAUGUAUACGUAAUCUGUAUAAAGAGAGAGAUGUAGAGUACUGAUAUUAAAAGUACAACGCUACUCAAGACAUGCUCGGUGAAUGAGAAUUUCUUUCGAAAUUGGCCAGUAGUCGGCGUUGCAGAUCACAUACUGAUGUAUCUAAGAAACAAUUAUGUACAACAACUUCUACAAAUUUUUUAUUUUCAUAAAAAAACAAAGAUAUUUUGGGACACAACUGAAGAUAUAUUACAAAUAACCAUUUACAAGUUUUAUAGCAGAUAUAUAUAUAUAUAUAUAUAUAAUUUUAUUACAAAGGAAUAGUUUUAUCAAAGAUCCGUUUCUAUUUAUACUGCCUUCUUAAUGGGAUGAAGAUAUUGAAAGCUGUAUUAUAAUCUUCGACUCCGACAUUUUAUUGGUAUGCCAGUUAAUCUUUUACUUAAUUAAUUGAUUAAAUAAUGCAAAACUUUAAAAAUGUGUCUAUUCUGCGAUGAAUGAUUAUUGGCAUUAAUGUAAAUAUAUUUCUAUGUAAGUGAUUCUAAUAUUUAUUCAUAAUAAUUCAUAAAUAGUUAUAAGUUUUUAUAUUUUAUUUUAAGAUUUUAGAAAUUAGAAUUUUAGAAAUUAAAUUAAAAUAAUAAUAAAUAUUAAUAUAAUAAAAUAUUUUAAGGAAUUUAUAAAAUUUUCGAAGAUUUCAAAACGCCGAGCAAUAAUUUAUCGUAAUUUAUUUAUUUAAGAUUAACAAUGAUUUUUCAUUUUGAGUUUCAUUUUAGCUUUUCUUUCUUUUAUUUUACUUAAAUUACAAAUAACAAAAGAAAGAAAAUUCGUUUGAAAUUAAAAUGAAACAAAAACAAUAUAACGAUCUAGUCAAGAAGUGAUAAAGAUUUAAAUAUUUAAUGCGAGAAUCAAAAUAUAUAGAUAAUCUAGUCUAAAAAAAAAGAAAAAUUUAGUCAUGAUCUAGUCAAAAUCGAGUAAUAUUUAUUUAAUCAUAAAAUAUAUAUUAUAUUCUAGUCACUAUUUAAUAUUCCAAUUGGUGCCACGAAUCAACUUUGAGACAAUUUUUUUAAAAUUUCUUUGAUUACUACUAAAAAUUAAGCUGAAAAUAAAUUACAAAAAAUAUAUAUUUAAUUUAAUUUCACGUAGCAUCAAUGAGGCUGUGUACAUACUUUCUCUUGUCUUUUUUUGUUUCUAAUCACAUCAUAUUUCUAGUCAGUACGUUUUCAAUUAAUACAUAGAUAUUAUAAGUUUCAUUUCAUAUUCCUCAAAGAAUAUGCAGGCCACAUAUAAAUGCAAUUUGGAACUUUUUUCAAAUAGUAUCUAGUCAUGUAAACAUUUGUUCAUAUUUAUAUAUAUUUUCUCAAACAGAUAUGUGUGGAUGCGAUGCCAUAAAAAAAUUAAAUUGCAAAAAUAUAUUAUACUCGAUUUUUAUAAUUUUAAAAAAAUUAAAAAUAGUUUAAAAGUUGCAGUAUAUAUAUAUUAUUUAAUCAUAUAUAGAUUAAUGUAAUUUAUUGAUUAAUCUAUUUAUUUCGGGAAACGUGCCAGUAAGUAACAUUAUUAUCAUAUAGAAUUCAUAAGAAAAAUUUUUUUAUUAAAUAUAAUUCCAACUAUAUAAAACAAAUAAAAUUUUUACAAUAAUUUAUUUCACAACCAUUUUUUUAAAUUAAUAUACUACUAAUACGAUUGUCGGCAAAAACAAAUAUUACCUACGUAGAGUAUUGAUAAUUUUGAUAUUUUUCUUAAAUUAAUAUAAUUUGAUGACAAAUUAAUUAAAUCCAUAAAAAAGUCCUAUAUGGCAGCUUUAAAGAUAAAAUUAGUAUAUAUUUUUCAAUAAUUUCAAAAUAAUAAAAUUAUUAAGCAGAAAUAUAUAAUAAAUUAAAAAAAAUCAUAUAUUUUUAGAUAAAAAUGCGAAUUUGUAAAAGUAUUACGAGGCUGUGUUUAAUAAAUAAGAAAAAUGAUAUAUUAAUUAAUAUAAUUUUCAUUUUUUUUUAAGUUAGAUAUCUUUAUUAGUACAUUUCGAUAAUAUCCAUCAUAAAUAUACCGACUGAAGAUAAUAUAUAACAUUUAAAUUUUAUUUAUUUUGACAAUAAUUUUAUUUAUUUUGAAAUAUCAUAACGACAAACUUAUUUAUUAUAUUACUUAUCUGUACAGCGAUUAUUAAAAAAAUUUUAUUUAAAUUAACAUAACUAUAUUAUUAAGAGUGGCAUCUAGUCAACCAAUCCAUGGACAUUAACUCGAACAGUUUCCAGGUAUUUAAAAGAAGAAAUAAAAAAAUAAAUUAAUUAAAUGAACAGUGUGUUAAUUAAUAAAAAAAAAAAGAAAAUAAUUCAUAUACAUUAAAUCUUUUAACAUUUUUUAUCAUGCAACUUUUUUUUAUAUUUAACUUGGCUAACUUAGUAGAGUAUGUAUGAUCUCAGUCCAUGGAUAAUAAAUCUAGUCUACGAUAUUCUGAAGAAAGCGAAAAAAAAAUCAAGAUUAAAUCCAAAAUGUAAUUAAUAAUUAAAUAUAUAUAACUUAAUUUAAAAACAUCUUAUCAUAAUUUAAAAUAAAAAUUUUUAUUAUAGUUUAUAAUUUAAUAACAAGAUAUACUUUGUAAGUGUCUUACGUAUGGUAAAUUAUAUAUUAAAGUAGAUUUUAUAAGAUAAUUUAUAAAAUAUUUAAUGAACUAAAUUUGUAGUAUAAAAAUUUAGAAUGUAAGUAAGAUAAUCAUACUUGUAUAACCGUAUUACUUCAUUAUAUAUUUUUUUUUUAUAAUUUAUUAAUAAUAAUUUGCUGUGUUGUGUGCUGUAUGUUUUUUUCAAAUAUCUAUUUAUCAAAUAUCUAUUAUGGUAAUAUAUAUCACGAUAUAAUUUUUUUCAAUAUUUAUUGUCAUUAUAUUUGCGUGUCGUGUGUGUGUAUUAUUUUUAAUAUUAUAUUAUAUUUAUUAACAAUUAAAAUUGUAAUCAAUAGUUUUGUUCUCAGAAAAUAAUUUCAAUUAAAAUUCAUAAUAUCCAUCUACAUUAAUAAUCAUAUUUUUGUAAUUGAUAUAAACAAUUUUAAUAUAAAAAAUUAAUUUUUUCUUGUAAUAUCCAAAUAUACCGAAUAAAAUUUUAAACCUUAAAA